ensembl:lncRNA
GUUUCUCCCACACUGAGGCCAACAGAACUAUUUGAAUCCAGGCUGAAAAGAGUUCCAGCAAUGUAAGUGCCAGCUACAAAGCAGCUGUGCCAAGAGAAGAGCAGUUGUGAUGAAUAAAUGUGAUGAAGAGCAGUUGUGAUGGGAAAGUCGAAAAUAAUCCAACUGCGGAGGGCAUGGGUGAGGGAAACAAAAAGAGACAAACAUUCGCGUGUCCAAACCAUAGACAAAUGGAAAAGAAGAGGGUCUGCAAUUCAAGGUGAGACUGGUGACACACAGAUGGAACUCAUUACCUGCACUGCCACAUGCUGCUCAAGAGAAAGUUUAAUGAGGGUCAUGGCAUGUGGACCUUUGUUUUCUGACUGCAGCUACAGAAUGAAAGCAAACAAUAUCCACCACACAUCAGAAAUCAAAGAAUUUGAGUGAGGAAUUUAAUGGGCUACAAAGGUGCUGGAUUCUAUGCAGUUGUUUCAGAACUUUUACAGCUUUAACAGGAGCUGAUGCCUUCUAGAUGUUAGAGCUCCUGGGAAUCAGCAGCUUGGGGAAGCAGGGAGCCUCGUGGGAGAUGAAAUUUAAUGGAUGCAGAGUGGCAGUCUGACAGAAUGGCAUCUGACAUGGAAGUUCAUAUGAAGCGAAGGUCUGCCACUGCGUUCCUCCAUGCAGAAAAAAUUUCACCCAUUGGCAUUCUUCACUGACCCUUGCUGAACAUUUCUGCAGACUAACCAGUGGAUGUGAGCACAGUGAAUCAGUGGGUGGUGUGUUUCAGCAGUAGCAACAGCAACAGUGGUUCACCUCUGCUGGUGCAGAUUUUUAUGAGCGCAGCAUGCAGACUCUUGUUCAUCACUGGAGGAAAUGCAUAGGUAAUGGUGGUGACAGUGUUGAAAAAAAGUGUUUUGUAGCUGAGAAUUUUCUCUGUCAAGUGUUAUUUUUCUCUUUGUUGUAGUUUCCACAUAAAUAAAUAGGAGGCGUUACUUUUGAAGAGAUCUAUGUAAUCUGAUUUAAGAAUUCUAUAUAUUUAAAUGUUAUAUUGUUAGAUAUAAAAUAAUGCAAGAGUGAACACAAAUAUUGUUGCUAAUUCUCUUAAAAAUUGAUUAGGUUCUUAGGAAUGCAAGUAUGUAGGUCAUUCUAAAAGGAGCAGCCCUUGUACUUCAAAGUAUCUGGUGGAACUCUCAAAGAUAUGCACUGUAACACUUACCUUCCAUGUUCUUGACACCAAGGCUGGCUAAGAAGAUACAGGAAAUACUAGAUGUACAAUUUCGGAAUUUUUUUAAUGUGAGCUCUUCAUAAACAAUGAGGGCAAUAAACCAAACAAUUCAACUGCUUAGCUCCAGCUAUUUUUUUAACUACAGCUGCUAACUUACCAACACUGAGCUAAAGUUACUUAGAAUGGAAAUGUCUGCCAAUAAACACUGAUGUCUCUCUAUUAUCGUCCUGACGUUAGCAUGAAGGCAUAGAC